AGGCAUGCUAGGGUACUAAUACCUUCCUUACGUGUAACCGAUUCCCGAACUUGAAAAUCUUUUUUUCGUAGACCAUGCUUUUAUUUUAGGGUUUUCCAUAGUUUUCCCAUAAUAAAUUAUGGUGGCGACUCCCAAAAUCUUUUCUAAACCCGUUUGUUUUUUCGGUUCGUCGUCCCGUCGUGAUCCCGGUUGCGACAGCUGGCGACUCCACUAGGGAGUCUAGAGAAUCAGGCCUUCUAAAUUAAAUGUUCAAAAUUGAUGUGGUUUUUCUGUGUUUUAUUUUAUUUCCCUUUUAUUUGUAUAUAUGAUUGUCUUUAUUUAUUUUGGUAAUUCUAUUUAUAUGCUUUUACUCUCAUUAUUAUUACUGUACAUAUCAUUAGUGGGACCCUAUACCCGGGUCUGAGUGUAACAUAGAAUUAGAGGGGUUGUGUAGCGGUGUUACGUCUGGGCUAAUUCCAGUUUGGCUAUCGUGAAAACCCCAGCCAGUGGCUGUUCUCUUUACAUGCAAUUUCACACCUAGUUGCGAUCAACUGUUGUGGAAAAGUUGUGAAAAGGACCAUAGUUCUGGUGGCCUUGAUUUUAGGUUUAGGAAGCCUUCCUUGUGAGAUUGCAUACACAAUGCUUAGACCUUAAGACAUUGGACCUACC
rnacentral:lncRNA from 1 species